UUGCAAUGAUGAUAUCUUUAUGAUAAAAUCGAAAGUGUUUUUAACACUUAAUGAACGGUCGGCAAAAAAUGUCGAACCUGAGCGGUUAGCUGAGCAA
rfam:Arabis alpina cultivar Pajares chromosome 6, whole genome shotgun sequence.